GACACUAUGGCCGAGUGGUUAAGGCGAAAGACUCGAAUCUUUUAAGAGGUAUCUUUUGGGAUCUUCCCGCGCAGGUUCAAAUCCUGCUGGUGUCG
rfam:Pachysolen tannophilus NRRL Y-2460 unplaced genomic scaffold PACTA_scaffold_2, whole genome shotgun sequence.